GAUGAACGCUGGCGGCGUGCCUAAUACAUGCAAGUCGAGCGAACAGACGAGGAGCUUGCUCCUCUGACGUUAGCGGCGGACGGGUGAGUAACACGUGGAUAACCUACCUAUAAGACUGGGAUAACUUCGGGAAACCGGAGCUAAUACCGGAUAAUAUAUUGAACCGCAUGGUUCAAUAGUGAAAGACGGUUUUGCUGUCACUUAUAGAUGGAUCCGCGCCGCAUUAGCUAGUUGGUAAGGUAACGGCUUACCAAGGCGACGAUGCGUAGCCGACCUGAGAGGGUGAUCGGCCACACGGGAACUGAGACACGGUCCAGACUCCUACGGGAGGAAGCAGUAGGGAAUCUUCCGCAAGGGGCGAAAGCCUGACGGAGCAACGCCGCGUGAGUGAUGAAGGUCUUCGGAUCGUAAAACGCUGUUAUUAGGGAAGAACAAAUGUGUAAGUAACUAUGCACGUCUUGACGGUACCUAAUCAGAAAGCCACGGCUAACUACGUG
rnacentral:rRNA from 1 species